rnacentral:tRNA from 1 species
AAUAAGGUGCCUGACAAAAGGGUUAUCUUGAUAGGAUAGAUCAUGUAAAAUUUACCCUUAUUG